AUUGAACGCUGGCGGCAUGCCUUACACAUGCAAGUCGAACGGCAGCACGGGGGCAACCCUGGUGGCGAGUGGCGAACGGGUGAGUAAUACAUCGGAACGUGCCCAGUAGUGGGGGAUAGCCCGGCGAAAGCCGGAUUAAUACCGCAUGCGACCUACGGGUGAAAGCGGGGGAUCGCAAGACCUCGCGCUGUUGGAGCGGCCGAUGUCAGAUUAGGUUGUUGGUGGGGUAAAGGCCACCAAGCCGACGAUCUGUAGCUGGUCUGAGAGGACGACCAGCCACACUGGGACUGAGACACGGCCCAGACUCCUACGGGAGGCAGCAGUGGGGAAUUUUGGACAAUGGGGCAACCCUGAUCCAGCCAUGCCGCGUGCGGGAAGAAGGCCUU
rnacentral:rRNA from 1 species